UGCCGCAGCUGCCACCUCGCUGCCCGGGCUCGGAUCCUCUCUCGGCUUGGCCACCGGGCAGGGACGCCCCGGAGGUGACUUCAAGUCCCAGAGUCCUCGCUGACACCGGGGCACGGGCCGGGACAGCAAGCUGCCAGCCUCGCGGAAACUCGGGGAGCAGGAGGGCGAGGUCCGGAGACCCCCGAGUUCGAACCCUGACUGCGGCGCUGUGCAACCCCCUCGAUGUGAGCUCGGCCUCUCUGAGCCCCUGUCUUUUCUGUUUGCUGAGACGGAGAAGCGCAUCUGGAGAUCUCGCCUUUGAGACUUUGGUGAGCACCGAAGGAACCGGUCACUCAGGGCAAAGCCACAGAGGAACAGACAGCUAGAAGCCAGGAGUCCAGGAGCUGGUGCCCUGGGUAACCAGUGACCAUGAGCGGCUGUCUUCCCGUCACCAGCCUCCGAUGCCUGACGAGAGUGUGUCGUGGCCUGGCGCAGAAGGCUCCCACCUUCCCCAGCCCUCCUGCCGCCUGCUUGCUUCGGACCCUGGCAGAAACCCCGCCCUCUCACCCACUCCUCCCGGGGGACCUGGCAAGUGAUCGGUGGUGCGCUCCUCCCUGUGCUGACAGGGCCCCAGGAGCGGUGGAGAAGCCCUGUCCCCUCCCGGGCCCCUGCCCAGCGCCACCUGCUGGUAGCAGCUCCCAGAGAGCCACCCAAUCACUGCUGGGGCUGAGGCCCCGGCCCCGCCCCGGCUCCCAGGCCCCAAGCUGGCGCUCCCGCCCACAGCUGUGCUCCUGGAGCCCGGUUCCUCGGGGUCCAGCGCUGUCCCAAGAGCCACUGACCCACCAGGGAGGGAAGGUAGAAGUGGAGGCUGCCCCGGCUGGCAGAUGUGUGGUUUCCUGGCAGGAACACGGGUGUUCUCACCACCCGCGGCCCAGGCCACCCUUCCCCCUCUGAAGUCCACACCCGCGGAGUCCCAGUGGCCCUGGAAGGGAGUGGCAGGACCAGGAGCCAAGGGAGCCCUUCUGGGUUCGGUUCCGGGGGCCCCGGGGGCAGAAGCCCAGAGCGGGUUCCCGAGAAGGGCAGGGGUGGGCG